rnacentral:rRNA from 1 species
UACGAAGGGGGCUAGCGUUGCUCGGAAUCACUGGGCGUAAAGCGCACGUAGGCGGAUUGCUAAGUCAGGGGUGAAAUCCUGGAGCUCAACUCCAGAACUGCCUUUGAUACUGGCGAUCUCGAGUCCGGGAGAGGUGAGUGGAACUGCGAGUGUAGAGGUGAAAUUCGUAGAUAUUCGCAAGAACACCAGUGGCGAAGGCGGCUCACUGGCCCGGUACUGACGCUGAGGUGCGAAAGCCAGGGGAGCAAAGCGGG